rnacentral:rRNA from 1 species
UACGUAGGGUGCGAGCGUUAAUCGGAAUUACUGGGCGUAAAGCGUGCGCAGGCGGUUUUGUAAGUCAGAUGUGAAAUCCCCGGGCUUAACCUGGGAACUGCGUUUGAAACUACAAGGCUAGAGUGUGGCAGAGGGGGGUGGAAUUCCACGUGUAGCAGUGAAAUGCGUAGAGAUGUGGAGGAACACCGAUGGCGAAGGCAGCGCCCUGGAUUAACACUGACGCUCAGGCACGAAAGCGUGGGGAGCAAACAGG